rnacentral:rRNA from 1 species
CCUANGGGUGGCAGCAGUGGGGAAUAUUGGACAAUGGGCGAAAGCCUGAUCCAGCCACGCCGCGUGUGUGAUGAAGGUCUUCGGAUCGUAAAGCACUGUGGAGAAGGAAGAAUAGGCAAGGGGAAUAAUACCCCUUUGCUCUGACGGUACUUCUUUAGCAAGCACCGGCUAACUCCGUGCCAGCAGCCGCGGUAAUACGGAGGGUGCAAACGUUGCUCGGAAUCAUUGGGCGUAAAGCGCGUGUAGGCGGCUAGUUAAGUCGAGUGUGAAAGUCCUGGGCUCAACCUAGGAAGUGCGCUCGAUACUGGCAAGCUUGAGUACGGGAGAGGGUAGUGGAAUUCCCGGUGUAGAGGUGAAAUUCGUAGAUAUCGGGAGGAACACCAGUGGCGAAGGCGGCUACCUGGACCGAUACUGACGCUGAGACGCGAAAGCGUGGGUAGCAAACAGGAUUAGAUACCCGGNUANUC